rnacentral:rRNA from 1 species
CACGCAGGCGGUUUGCUAAGUCCCCUGUGAAAGCCCGGGGCUCAACCCCGGAAUUGCAGAGGAUACUGGCAGACUAGAGACAGGUAGAGGCUAGCGGAAUUCCUGGUGUAGCGGUGGAAUGCGUAGAUAUCAGGAAGAACACCUGUGGCGAAGGCGGCUAGCUGGGCCUGUUCUGACGCUCAUGUGCGAAAGCGUGGGGAGCAAACA